rnacentral:rRNA from 1 species
GACGAACGCUGGCGGCGUGCUUAACACAUGCAAGUCGAACGGAAAGGCCCUGCUUUUGUGGGGUGCUCGAGUGGCGAACGGGUGAGUAACACGUGAGUAACCUGCCCUUGACUUUGGGAUAACUUCAGGAAACUGGGGCUAAUACCGGAUAGGAGCUCCUGCUGCAUGGUGGGGGUUGGAAAGUUUCGGCGGUUGGGGAUGGACUCGCGGCUUAUCAGCUUGUUGGUGGGGUAGUGGCUUACCAAGGCUUUGACGGGUAGCCGGCCUGAGAGGGUGACCGGCCACAUUGGGACUGAGAUACGGACCAGACUCAGACGGGAGGCAGCAGUGGGGAAGAGGACACAAUGGGCGGAAGACUGAUGCAGAAACGCCGCGUGCGGGAUGACGGACUUCGGGUUGUGAACCGAUUUCGCCGGUGACGAAGAGGGAGUGAAGGUAAUGGGUAAAGAAGCACCGGCUAAAUAAGGG